rnacentral:rRNA from 1 species
UACGUAGGUGACAAGCGUUGUCCGGAUUUACUGGGCGUAAAGAGCGCGCAGGCGGUCGUUCAAGUCGAGUGUGAAAGCCCCCGGCUCAACUGGGGAGGGUCACUCGAUACUGAUCGACUUGAAGGCAGGAGAGGGAAGCGGAAUUCCCGGUGUAGUGGUGAAAUGCGUAGAUAUCGGGAGGAACACCAGUGGCGAAGGCGGCGGCCUGGGUUGACACUGACGCUGAGGCGCGAAAGCGUGGGGAGCAAACAGG